rnacentral:rRNA from 1 species
GAGCGCAACCUUCAUCGUUAGUUGCCAUCAUUUAGUUGGGCACUUUAAGGAAACUGCCGGUGAUAAGCCGGAGGAAGGUGGGGAUGACGUCAAGUCCUCAUGGCCCUUACAGGGUGGGCUACACACGUGCUACAAUGGUAUUUACAGUGAGCAGCGAUCCCGCAAGGGUUAGCUAAUCUCCAAAAGAUAUCUCAGUUCGGAUUGUUCUCUGCAACUCGAGAGCAUGAAGGCGGAAUCGCUAGUAAUUGCGGAUCAGCAUGCCGCGGUGAAUACGUUCCCAGGC